UCAGGCCUAACACAUGCAAGUCGAACGGCAGCACGGACUUCGGUCUGGUGGCGAGUGGCGAACGGGUGAGUAAUACAUCGGAACGUGCCCAGUCGUGGGGGAUAACGUAGCGAAAGCUACGCUAAUACCGCAUACGAUCUAAGGAUGAAAGCGGGGGAUCGCAAGACCUCGCGCGAUUGGAGCGGCCGAUGGCAGAUUAGGUAGUUGGUGGGGUAAAGGCUCACCAAGCCGACGAUCUGUAGCUGGUCUGAGAGGACGACCAGCCACACUGGGACUGAGACACGGCCCAGACUCCUACGGGAGGCAGCAGUGGGGAAUUUUGGACAAUGGGCGCAAGCCUGAUCCAGCCAUUCCGCGUGCAGGAUGAAGGCCCUCGGGUUGUAAACUGAUUGUGUACGGAACGAAAAGGCUCUGGUUAUACCUGGG
rnacentral:rRNA from 1 species